rnacentral:rRNA from 1 species
GAUCAUGGUCAGGACGAACGCUGGCGGCGCGCUUAACACAUGCAAGUCGAACGGAGCGAACGGAAGGAAGCCUUCGGGCGGAAUUCCGUGAGCUUAGUGGCGAACGGGUGAGUAACGCGUGAGCAACCGGUCCCAAAGAGGGGGACAACUUUGAGAAAUCAAGGCUAAUACCGCGUAAGACCACACUGCCGCAUGGCAGAGGGGUCAAAGGAGAAAUCCGCUUUGGGGAGGGCUCGCGUCUGAUUAGGUAGUUGGUGAGG